CAAAGUAAAGCUUAAAGAAGCACUUCAUUUACACUGAAUAGAUUUUUCGUGCAAUUCGAAUUAUUUUGA
rnacentral:tRNA from 1 species